rnacentral:rRNA from 1 species
CUCUAAGGUGACUGCCGGUGACAAACCGGAGGAAGGUGGGGAUGACGUCAAAUCAUCAUGCCCCUUAUGACCUGGGCUACACACGUGCUACAAUGGACAGAACAAAGGGCUGCGAGACCGCAAGGUUUAGCCAAUCCCAUAAAUCUGUUCUCAGUUCGGAUCGCAGUCUGCAACUCGACUGCGUGAAGCUGGAAUCGCUAGUAAUCGCGGAUCAGCAUGCCGCGGUGAAUACGUUCCCGGGCCUUGUACACACCGCCCGUCACACCACGAGAGUUUGUAACACCCGAAGUCGGUGAGGUAACCUUUAUGGAGCCAGCCGCCGAAGGUGGGACAGAUGAUUGGGGUGAAGUCGUAACAAGGUAGCCGUAUCGGAAGGUGCGGCUGGAUCACCUCCUUUCUAAGGA